GCAGAAUUCCGCGAAUCAUCGAGUCUUUGAACGCAAGUUGCGCCCNAGGCUUGUCCGAGGGCAUUUCCGCUAGAGCGUCACC
rnacentral:rRNA from 1 species